UCCCUCUUGGCUUUUUUUAAACUAACUCUAUUUUUGAAAUUUGAGUAUAUAUAUAUAUUUGUAUAUAUACUCUUAUCCAGUGUCAUUAAUAAUCUUGGAAGAGGAAGAUGAAGGAAUAGAAUAGAUAAAUGAAGCUGAUUGUUAAAGUUGGAGUACAAAGGAUUAUUUAUUGAUAAGGAAGAAGUUUAAAAAGAAAUCUAGAACAUUUGAAGUCGUAAGAAGACAAAAAACCAGAAAGAAAAUCGAAAGUGGACUUUUAUAUGAAAUGUCAAUGCUGUUUUGAAGUGGAAGAAUAAAUAAUGUAAAUAAUCAUCACAGCAUAUAUCUACCUCAGUUGAUUUCAAACAUAUGGAUUCAUAUGUGGAUGAAAGUCAAUUCUUUAUUAUUUUGUAUUAUUAAAUUAUGAAGUUUAGAUGGCUUUUGUUAGUAAGUUAAGACAUGAUAAAAAUACAUAUAAUUGCACAUCUA